rnacentral:rRNA from 1 species
UACGUAGGGUGCAGGCGUUAAUCGGAAUUACUGGGCGUAAAGCGUGCGCAGGCGGUUUGCUAAGACAGGUGUGAAAUCCCCGGGCUCAACCCGGGAACUGCGUCCGAUACUGGCAGGCUUGAAUCCGGGAGAGGGAUGCGGAAUUCCAGGUGUAGCGGUGAAAUGCGUAGAUAUCUGGAGGAACACCGGUGGCGAAGGCGGCAUCCUGGACCGGCAUUGACGCUGAGGCGCGAAAGCCAGGGGAGCAAACAGG